rnacentral:rRNA from 1 species
ACGUAGGGUGCAAGCGUUAAUCGGAAUUACUGGGCGUAAAGCGCGCGCAGGCGGCUAUCCAAGUCAGUGGUGAAAGCCCGGAGCUCAACUCCGGAACUGCCAUUGAAACUGUUUAGCUUGAGUACGAGAGAGGUGAGUGGAAUUCCCAGUGUAGAGGUGAAAUUCGUAGAUAUUGGGAAGAACACCGGUGGCGAAGGCGGCUCACUGGACCGUAACUGACGCUCAUGCACGACAGCGUGGGGAUCAAACAGGA